AUUGAACGCUGGCGGCAGGUCUAACCCAUGCAAGUCGAACGAGUGGCGGACGGGUGAGUAAUGUCUGGGAAACUGCCAGAUGGAGGGGGAUAACUACUGGAAACGGUAGCUAAUAACGCAUACCAUCGGAUGUGCCCAGAUGGGAUUAGCUAGUAGGUGGGGUAACGGCUCACCUAGGCGAAGAUCCCUAGCUGGUCUGCGAGGAUGACCAGCCCAACUGUAACUUAGACACGGUCCAGACUCCUACGGGAGGCAGCAGUGGGGAAUAUUGCACAAUGGGCGCAAGCCUGAUGCAGCCAUGCCGCUUGUAUGAAGAAGGCCGUCGGGUUUUAAAGUACUUUCAGCGAGGAGGCGUUACUCGCAGAAGAAGCACCGGCUAACUCCGUGCCAGCAGCCGCGAUAAUAC
rnacentral:rRNA from 1 species